rnacentral:rRNA from 1 species
AAAUUGAAGAGUUUGAUCAUGGCUCAGAUUGAACGCUGGCGGCAGGCCUAACACAUGCAAGUCGAGCGGAAACGAGUUAUCUGAACCUUCGGGGGACGAUAACGGCGUCGAGCGGCGGACGGGUGAGUAAUGCCUAGGAAAUUGCCCUGAUGUGGGGGAUAACCAUUGGAAACGAUGGCUAAUACCGCAUGAUGCCUACGGGCCAAAGAGGGGGACCUUCGGGCCUCUCGCGUCAGGAUAUGCCUAGGUGGGAUUAGCUAGUUGGUGAGGUAAGGGCUCACCAAGGCGACGAUCCCUAGCUGGUCUGAGAGGAUGAUCAGCCACACUGGAACUGAGACACGGUCCAGACUCCUACGGGAGGCAGCAGUGGGGAAUAUUGCACAAUGGGCGCAAGCCUGAUGCAGCCAUGCCGCGUGUGUGAAGAAGGCCUUCGGG